rnacentral:rRNA from 1 species
GACGAACGCUGGCGGCGUGCUUAACACAUGCAAGUCGAACGAUGAAGCCGGAGCUUGCUCUGGUGAAUUAGUGGCGAACGGGUGAGUAACACGUGAGUAACCUGCCCUUGACUCUGGGAUAACUGCGGGAAACUGUAGCUAAUACCGGAUACGACCCUCGGAGGCAUCUCCUGGGGGUGGAAAGAAUUUCGGUCAAGGAUGGACUCGCGGCCUAUCAGCUAGUUGGUGAGGUAAAGGCUCACCAAGGCGACGACGGGUAGCCGGCCUGAGAGGGUGACCGGCCACACUGGGACUGAGACACGGCCCAGACGCCUACGGGAGGCAGCAGUGGGGAAUAUUGCACAAUGGGGGCAAGCCUGAUGCAGCAACGGCGCGUGAGGGAUGACGGCCUUCGGAUUGUAAACCUCUUUUAGCAGGGAAGAAGCGAAAGUGACGGUACCUGCAGAAAAAGCACCGGCUAACUACGUGCCAGCCGCCGCCGUAA